ensembl:miRNA
CUGGCUCUCUCUGUUGCCAUGGCACCGGCCGGAGAUGAGGCUCUGGGGGGCGGUGGGGGGCGGGGUUGCAGGGAGGACAG